AGCUGCGUAGCCCAAUCAGCAGAGGCAUCCGGCUCAAACCCGGAACAGUGCAGGUGCAAGUCCUGUCGCAGCUACCA
rnacentral:tRNA from 1 species